GGAAGUGCUUACAAUACAUUGUGCCCCUUGCGGCUGGGGCUGGUCUGCUGCUGCUGGUGGUGUCUCUGAGCCUCGUCUGGACCCUCUGCCCUUCCACGCUAGGAUUCAAGCCCAGGAUCUCAGCACCCCCAGCUUCAGAGGAGCACCAGGGUGGAAUCUUAUACGCUCAUCUGGAUUUUGAUUCGCGGAAUCACAACGGGCGCACGAUGCAGCGAUCGGCCAGAGGGAAAAGCGCAAAACCCUGAACUGUCUACUGCAGGGGAAUCCACACGUGGGAACUGAUGGCUGGUUCUCUGCUGAUCGGACGUAGCAGCUGGAAGAAGGCUCUGUCCGUCUCCAUCUCCUUUCUUUUUCAUUUUCUCCACUUCUCUGUUUAGAAUAAAAAGCUCAGAAGAUCCCUACAGAGUCCAGCCUCGUCAGGUGGGAUAUAAAAGCAUCAGGGUGUAGAUGACUUUACACAUCACGUGUGUACUAGAUUGGAAGCUCUUUGGGGCAGGAACUGUCUCUUUGUUCUGUGUUUGUGCAGCACCUAGCACAAUGGGUGCUAUGGUAACACAAUAAUUGUCGUCAUCAUCCUCUCAUCUGCAGAGGGACCCGGACACAGCUGAACGGCUGCAGCUUCCCUGCACAGAGUGAGGCCGGAUGGCAGAAGCCUGCAGAGGGGACGUGCAGCCCCUGUAUAUGCCA